CAGGGAUGAAGGAGGAGGGAGAGGGGGAAUUCCCUGGGUCGUGCUACCUGACACAACACCGAGGGCUGAAACAGCAACUCCUGCACUCCUGGACCCGAGCGCGGGCUCGCAGCCCGAAGCUCCUGGAGUCGGGUGAUCACUCGCGGCUUCCUCCACUUGCUCUCGGAACCUUAUUGCUUUGGUGUGGUGGCAAAGUAAGACCUGAGCUCACACCAGCUCAAAGAUCAGUCGGCCAAGGACAACCCCGCUGCACAAAAUAUUGUCAUUUUCCAGCCCAUCCAGCACCUGUGUCUUGAUUUUGGGAGGGUGGUGCUGCUCACACGUGCCAAGGAGCAUUUCUCCCACCUGCACAUGGCUGGGGAUGGAGCUCCUUGCACUUUUCCCGCUGUCACCACAUGGUGAUUUCCACCAAAACUGUGCCCAGUGUCACCUCCAGAGACUGUCACAGGAGCUGCCUGUAUUUUUAAUGAUGGCAUGUGUAGCCUUAUCUCCAUGCAAGGCCACAACACACAUUCUUGGGAUGAAAUAUGGAUAAGAGAAAUGAUCCCACUCCAGCCCGACAAAUCCUCACCGCAUGCUGUAGGGGGGGAAAGCACCUUAAAUUAAAAAAAGCAGUAUCUGU